UAUUGGUCAAUGGGCGGGAGCCUGAACCAGCCAAGUCGCGUGAGGGAAGACGGUCCUACGGAUUGUAAACCUCUUUUGCCGGGGAGCAACGGGGUCCUUGCGAGGGCCCAAUGAGAGUACCCGGAGAAAAAGCAUCGGCUACCUCCGUGCCAACAGCCGCGGUAAUACGGAGGAUGCGCGCGUUAUCCGGAUUUAUGGGGUUUAAAGGGUGCGUAGGCGGUCCGGAAAGUCAGCGGCAAAAGCCCGGGGCUCAACCCCGGCGAGCCGUUGAAACUGUCGGACUAGAGACGGCGAGAAGUACGCGGAAUGCGCGGUGUAGCGGUGAAAUGCAUAGAUAUCGCGCAGAACUCCGAUUGCGAAGGCAGCGUACCGGCGCCGGCCUGACGCUGAGGCACGAAAGCGUGGGUAUCGAACAGG
rnacentral:rRNA from 1 species